rnacentral:lncRNA from 1 species
UCUAGCUACCCCAUAUUAUUACCCACAAGGGUAAAGGAACAGUAUCACUGCUGGAUAAUUGGAAAGUCCCUGUGUGUCAACCUCUGUGCUUCGUGGCAAGGUAGACUAGCAAACAUGCCCAACCUUUACUCACAUUCGAGAAAACACUCCCAACAAGAUUGCUUGCUCCAAAAUCGAAGAGGCACCGUCCUCCGAAUCUCGAGAGCCAGACUCCCAACAUGACUACUUUCUCAAAAAUCGAAGAGAGGGUAAAGGAACAGUACCAUUGCUGGAUAAUUGGAAAGUCCCUGUGUGUCAACCUCUGUGCUUCGUAGCAAGGUAGACUAGCAAACAUGCCCAACCUUUACUCACAUUCGAGAAAACACUCCCAACAAGAUUGCUUGCUCCAAAAUCGAAGAGGCACCGCCCUCCGAAUCUCGAGAGCCAGACUCCCAACAUGAUUAC